AGCAUUCUAAGAAUAUCCUGGAGCCAUCUAGUCUUGCCUCCAAGGCGUGGUGGGCUUAUUUGUGCGGAGAAGAAACGGCUCCCCUAAUGGGGUGAGAUUUUUCCUCCCUGCAUUGUUCCCAUUUCCGCAGUUUCACUUGGCCUCGAUUUUCUUCCAGAGUAAUGCACCAAAUGAAAUUAGCUGGAGAGCGUUUGAUGGCGCAGAAUCGGGUUGAAAGAUGUUUACGCUCUCUGCCGGACGCGUUUGAUGAUGUUCUCUUUGGCACAAUGAACUUGGCGAAGUUCAGAAGCGUGCCAGCUAGAACCCCGGGCUGCCGCGUCCAGGGCUCUGCAGCCACACCUUCAAGGUGAAGAGAUGAAGAAAACAAAGCUCAAAGCUCAAACAUGGCAGUCUAAUUCCAACGUCAUUUUAAUGAUUUGGAAAACACCGGCUAGAAGUAGGGUUCGGAACACUUCAUUGCAGGUGACAGCAAUGAACACGGAUGAGUACUCUGAGCGCUCCUGGUACUGUGCACCAACUCGUUCUGUUCUCUCAGCGACUCUGGGAGUUGCAGGGAGGGUUUUCAUCCCAUUUGCCAAGGAGACCACAAAGAUACUGACAACAGUGUGAUUCAAACCACCGCAGUCUGGCUCCCCACCCCACGCUUCCAAUACUGGACUCUGCGUCCCACUCUGAGUGCCAGCACUAAACCUGCCACCUCCAGUUUCAGGAGCCUCACUGGGACCUCGCCUACAACUUGCUGCCACUGUAGCUGGAGCUUUGAUAAAGUUGGGUUUUGACCAAGAGCUAUGCAAAGCCCUUCCCAACCCAAAGGCCUGCUCUUCAAUCUCUCAGUCCGAUUUGCAACUCAACUUUGCCUUGUUGGCUUGAAUCUAACUCUCUCUCUUACAUAUCCCUGUUUCAGAUGUCCUCACUCGAGAGAGAUGACAUGCUCUUUCUUCUGGGUGUGGUGUGAGUUCUGCCAUGUUGUAAAGCACCAUGUGUCCGUAGGGGCCGGCUCACCCCACUGUUCCCAAGCUUCUCUCCUCUGCGUUGAGACCCCAUCAUCAUAUUUUAACACUAUCAUUUACCUCUGGGGGGUGAGUGCUUCCUUCGACAUGAAAGUAUCUUUAUGUUUAAGACCCCCAACAUCCAGGAGCACCUCCCCCAGACACUUCCAUUGGAUUAGAGAGAGUGUUCUUUUUGCUUAUGCCUUACGACACCUCUUUAUUUUACACACAUAAUUAUACUCAGUUUCUGAGCCCUGGAUUUUCAAUACAUUUGUCCAUCUUUAGAAAAUAAAAAAUUUCACAGUUAAAGAACAAAAAUGUUAGCAUUCCAUGUAGUGUUCAGUAUAACAGAUAUCAAAGAAGGCUGGUGAAUGAAGAUUCCAUUUCUGCAAGUGGUAGAAAUGCAACCCUAACUAAUUUUGCAAUGCAGGGCAAAAGGGAGAAGGGAGAGGUCAUGAAAAAGCACGCAAACUUUUGGAGCAAAACCAAGGGAGACUUUAUCUUCAUGAAGUUUACAUUUUAAGACCCUUUUAAGACAUGGUCAGAAUGUGCUUUAUUAGCCCGAGUUGCCCAAAAUACUCCUGCUUUAAAAUUAAAUUCCUAUUAAUUAACUAAAAA